rnacentral:lncRNA from 1 species
ACUGCUGCUGCUGCUGCUUUUGCUGCUGGUACAGCACUAGGAUCUCCAAAGCUACGCUCUUCCCGCCUUUAAGGCCUCCCUUUCGAAAGUGAAGAUGCCUGCAAAGACUGGAGGAGGAGGAGGCUUCAGGAGGGAAGCCGCUCAGCAGAUCCUGGCCGGAGGUUCAGCGGCAGAUUCACUCCGAAAGGAAAAUUAGUAAAGGGUGGUUCUGUCUACAUGAAGGUGGAUAUCAUCCAAAAGAGAAAAGUGAGUUUUCUGUUAACCUGUAUACCCCCAACCCAAGAAAUGUGCUAGACUUGAAUUCUGGGCUU